rnacentral:rRNA from 1 species
AAGCGCUCAUGACCAGACUUGGGCUUGGUUGAUCAUCCAGGGUUCUCCCUGGUGCACUCUUCCAGCCCAGGCCAGCAUCAGUUCGCUGUGGGGGAUAAAGGCUUUGGGAAUGUGGCUCCUCCGGGAGUGUUAUAGCCUAUUGUAUAAUACCCUUAUGGGGACCGAGGUACGCGCUCUGCAAGGAUGCUGGCGUAAUGGUCAUCAACGA